rnacentral:misc_RNA from 1 species
UCGACGCAGGAAUUUUGAGGACGUUGUCAAAAAAAACUUGAAAACAAAAAAAAAUUAGGAAAAAGCAAAACAGUUCGGAAUCGUAUGUGGAACGGAGCGUUAUGUUCGGGGAUCCGGGCUAAAAAUAUUUACGUGUUUUUUGUAAAUUAUAGGACUGAAAAGUUCUUUCCCAAUUCUGGUGUGUAGUGACAAAUACAGUGUACUGUUUGGAUAAGUUAUGAAACACAAGGCAUCUCAAAAUGUCGAACUUCAAUCAUGCAUCAGACAGAACUGGCAACACUGGCCCGCCUUCUGAAAUACCAAACCAGGCACACAGUGCACCUUCUGCUAGCAUUGUCGGUUUAGGGGGUACCACAUACACCUUUCCGGAUGUCACAAUAGUGGGGGGACCCGCUAGGAGCCCUAGAGGCCAUUCGAGAAGUGUAAGCCACGGUGGAGCCACUAAUAUAGUAGCGGGAGGUAGCAGUUCUGCCAGUGUGGUUGGCAGAUCAGCUUUGAAAGGAUCAAGAGGCCACCAGAGGGCGUUCUCCCAUGGCCAGAUCUCCGAGGCGGAGGUGUCCGGGGUCGGGCCGGAUAGACCUGGACACUCUAGGGGAGGUUCCAAGACUGAUUUUAUAUUGCCACCUGGACACAAAGAUACCGUUAGCGUCGAGGGGGCGGCCUCUAGGGUUAGUGCCAAGGGACAUUCUAGACAAGCUUCAAGGUCCGAAUCGAUUUACACACUUCGCCGAUCCGAUCCUCCUCACCUGUGGCAGAAAAUCUACUAUAGGCUCACGAGACGUUCGCCCAAGCACGAUCCGGAGGAGAGGAUCCGUACCGUAGUACCCAACCACACGGUUCCGCCAAAAACACCGCGCAAACAACAUCCGAACGGACGUCGGGCCGACAACCGUAUUAGGACUACAAAAUAUACCCUUCUUAGUUUUUUACCGCGGAAUUUACUGGAACAAUUUCAUAGGGUAGCGAAUUUGUACUUUAUUUUUAUAGUGUUACUGAAUUGGUUCCCGGCGAUCAACGCGUUCGGUAAAGAGAUCGCGAUGAUCCCGGUGAUGUUUGUGUUGGGCGUGACGGCGGUCAAAGAUUUGUUCGAGGACCGGAGGCGGCACGCGAGCGAUAAGAAUAUUAAUAAUAGCACCUGUAGGAUUUAUAAUAGUGAGCAUGCGAGAUACAGAAAAGUAUUAUGGAAGGAUGUGCGAGUGGGUGACCUGAUACACCUGUCAAAUAACGAAGUGGUGCCUGCCGAUAUCUUAUUACUAAGAUCCAGCGAUCCUAGCGGGAUAUGUUACAUCGAUACCGGUCAUCUGGAUGGCGAGACAAACUUGAAGCAGCGACAAGUGGCUAGAGGGUUUGUGGAAAAGCAAACUUGCUUUGAACCAAGCAAGUUCCGGAGCGACAUCGAAGUAGAAUCGCCUACAACGAAAAUCUACAGGUUUCACGGAUCCAUAGUGCACCCAUCGGGAAAACGAGUCCCUGUGGGCACCGAAAAUUUAUUACUUAGAGAAUGCUUGUUAAAGAAUACAGAUUUUAUUGAAGGAAUCGUAGUUUAUGCAGGUCAUGAAACGAAAGCUUUACUGAACAACGGCGGACCACGCUACAAGAGAUCGUCCCUCGAAAGACAAAUGAACCAAGACGUGCUGUGGUGCGUCCUAAUUUUGAUUUUUUUAUGCGUGGUUGGGGCCAUAGGAUGCAAACUGUGGCUCCUCACUUAUCCCAACCUGCCUCCUCCCUUCAGGGACGAGUAUUAUACUGAAAACGUUGAGGCUUUUUUGUCCUUUUGGACCUAUGUGAUAAUUUUACAAAUUAUGAUCCCUCUGUCUUUGUAUGUAACCCUAGAAUUGUGCAAAAUUUUACAAGUAUACCAUAUACACCAUAAUGCGGACCUUUACGAUCCUUUGAUGGACAAAAGGAUCGAGUGCAGAGCCUUGAAUAUAACCGAGGAAUUAGGGCAAAUACAGUAUAUAUUUUCCGAUAAGACUGGUACUUUAACAGAGAAUAGAAUGAUUUUUAGAAAUUGUAGUAUAGCUGGGAUUGAUUAUAACCAUCCGGCGUUAGAAAAUGAAGCUAAAAAUUCUAUUAAGCAAACCAAUUUAAGCGUAUUAGUAAACAAGAAGUUACUGAGUGAUCUCUAUCAAGAAGGCACCAUGUCCGACCAAAUUUUUAGCAGCAGAGCCUUACAUAGUGCCAGAAUCCAAGAGUUCCUUUUGCUCUUAGCAGUCUGCAAUACCGUUGUGUGUUCAAAUCAUCCGCAUCAUGACAUUAUGAACGCUAGUGGGAUCAUCGAAGCAAUUCCCAAUAUACCAACCGAUAUCGACGAUUCAAUAUCGAUCGCGCCAAAAACUGGUCCAAUAAAUGACAAAUACAGUAGAUUAGAAGAAUCACGCUCGGUCACACCAUCACCACCGUUAAACAGUUACGACUUAGAAAAAAGAUCUCAUAUGCCGACUUUAAGCACUAUAGACUCUGUGGAUAACUCGCCCGACUCCUUACAAAGUCAAAGCAGCUCGAGGUCCCUUAGGCCCAAACUGUUAAACAUUCCGAAUUUUUUAACUAGAAGGAACAACAGUAACACAAAUUUAACCGACGAAGAGAAGGUCAAAUUGAACCAAGCCUGCACUCCAUCGCCUCUUGAUUUAAAACCUAUUUACGAAGCGGAAAGUCCGGACGAACUGGCAUUGGUUGAUGCCGCUUAUAUUUACAAGUGUCGACUGUUAAAUCGAACCCCCACAGAAGUCACCGUGGACACUCCGAAUAGGGGCAGAAUGACCAUCAAAAUCCUUAUGAUUCUACCGUUCGACUCGACGAGAAAACGCAUGUCCGUUAUCAUCCGUCAUCCGAUUACCAACGAGAUCGUUUUAUACUGUAAAGGGGCGGAUACCUCCAUGAUACCUUUUCUGGUGCCAGCUGAAGAUGACUCGGAACAAGCGUAUAUCUUGAAUAAAACGCAACAGCAUCUAAGUGCGUAUGCCAGAGAGGGUUUGCGGGUGCUUGUGGUCGCCAAAAGGGUACUAAGCCAGCAGGAGUACAACGAAUGGUUUAGGAAACAUCAGGAAGUUGAACUGUCCAGCGAUAAUCUGGAUAAGAGGAUUCGGGAUAGUUAUAAUAGUAUCGAAAACAAUAUGGUGCUGUUAGGAGCCACAGGUGUAGAAGACCGUUUACAAGAAGGCGUUCCAGAAACCCUUUCCGCCUUAAUAUCCGCGGGCAUAGUAGUAUGGGUAUUAACUGGAGAUAAACCAGAAACAGCCAUCAACAUUGCCUAUUCCGCCAAGCUCUUUUCCCCCCAAAUGGAACUGCUAAAAAUCAUGGCCAGGUCAAAGGAAAGUGCUGAAAGCACUAUUCGUUGUUAUUUAGCUGACAUCAACAGGCAAUUAACGGAAGCAGAAAACAAUGCUCAAAAUAACCUUGCCGAAUUAAAUGCGAUUCCAUCGUGCAGCAAUGCGACACGUACUCGCACCCAAUCUACCACCAACAACCAUUUGGGUAGGGCGUUGGUAGUGGACGGCAAAACUCUUACUUAUAUUUUAGACAGAAGGUCGAACCUCACAAAGCCCUUCUUAGAGUUGACGACCCAUUGUAAUUCAGUAUUAUGCUGUAGGGCGACACCUUUACAGAAGGCAUAUAUCGUUAGGGUGGUCAAGGAAGAGCUUAAGAUGAGAACUCUUGCUAUAGGGGACGGUGCCAAUGAUGUUUCUAUGAUUCAAACUGCGGAUGUCGGCAUAGGUAUAUCGGGUCAGGAGGGCAUGCAAGCAGUGAUGGCGGCCGAUUUUGCGUUAUCGCGCUUUAAGUACCUCGAAAGAUUUCUGUUAGUGCACGGUCAUUGGAGUUAUGAUAGACUCGCUCGGAUGGUCCUGUAUUUCUUUUAUAAAAAUGCCACGUUUGUGUUCUUAAUAUUUUGGUACCAAUUUUACUGUGGUUUCUCCGGUUCAGUUAUGAUCGACCAAAUGUACCUUAUGCUGUAUAAUCUUUUAUUUACCUCACUACCUCCCAUUGCAAUCGGUGUGUACGAUCAAGACGCGCCCUACCGACUGCUACGAGAAAAACCGUAUUUAUACAGUCGAGGUCGAUUAGGCAAAGUUUACAAGUCCUACUCGUUUUGGUUAACUAUGGCGGACUCUUUGUAUCAAAGUGUCGUCGUGUUUUGGCUUUGCAAACUGGCCUACGACGGUAGCGACGCGGAUAUUUUUGAAUUCGGCACCGCUGCAACUACCGCGUGUAUGUGCGUCAUGUUACUUCACGUUUCUAUUGAAACAAGAUCCUGGACAAUUAUACACGCCGCCUCGAUAAUCUGCUCGAUAGGUGCUUUCUUCCUAUACUCGCUGAGUUACAAUACGUUCUGCGUAAACUGUUUUGGACUACCGAGCACUUAUUGGACCAUCCAGAUUUCGAUGCAGAGGCCGCAGUAUUGGUUGGUGACGGUGUUGGCGUCCGUCGUGGCCCUAUUGCCAAGAAUCUUAUAUAGGGUAUGCCAAACUAUGUUCACCCCGGACGAGGUGACGCGUGCGGUUAUCGCAGAUCGGAAGUGCCGCAGUAGAGGUGAGAAGUUUUCGGUCUCUUGGUCGCAAUCGACCUCCACGUCCUCUAUUUACAGAAGAACCAGUAACAGGAAUCAGCAUAACCCUCUAGCAGCCGUUACUUAAUGCUAAUCGACCAAAAACGAGAGGUAACAGGGAUGACAUAUUCGCUGAACUUAGUGAUCCUGCAUUUACGGGCUGUGAUGCAUAUAUUUAAGGGACCAACCGCAUUAUUUCAUUGCCUAAAUAAUACGGAUUUGAUUCUGAUUAGUGUUAAUGUAUUAGUUUUUUUUUUAUUUGUUUUGACAAUACAUCUUGUGCCAUGUCAAAGUUGUUGUGCAGCGGUCCAAGAUUAUAUUUCGCAGGUUAUUUAUUAAUUCCGCGGGAGUGCAUUGGUUACCAGUUGAAUUUUAUUUUAUUUUUAUGAAUUAUGACGGGACUGUUUUGAAGAAAAUUUUGCACUUUUUCGUUUUGUUUAUUUACUGGUUUAUAAUUAAAAAGUUGUGCCUUUUAGAUAGGUGACCGUUAUUUUCUUCAGUACAGUCUUUUAUUAGGUAAUUGUGUGUAUUUAUUUUAUAUAUUUAUUAUUGUAAAUAGCUAUAGAACGUGGUCCUAUCAGAGAAAGUAUAGAGCAUAUCAAGCGUAAGAAUAAUAUAACCAACUAUUUAUAAAGCAGCUGCCUGUGCUGAAUCUAUUUUUUAUACCUCGGGUCUUAGACGCCCUACUAAUUAUUAUUAAUAAAUUUUUAUUUAUAUAUAAACAUAAGUGGAAAAGACAAAUCUAACCCAAAACUCAACAGAUUUCGACGUAUUGGGUAUGUCACUUUAGAGUUUGACCAUUAUAUUAUGUUCAUAUGGGAUCUCGACCAAGAUCUCACAUUUUUUAUUCUUCGACUGUUGAAUCCUAGAAAAUUACAUGGAACCAGACCUCUCAUCUGGAUAUAUUCAAUAUUUUGUUGCCAUAUUUUUUUAAUUAUUAAUUUUAGUUAUAAUAAACAAUAUGGUCUUCUUGCAUACUAAAGGCAUUUUUUUCAAUAUAAGAAAAGGAAACAUUCGGCCCUAAGAUGUGAUUUUUUUAAAAUAAUGUCGACCUUGUAAAAAAAAUUUUAUGAUAGACAAUUUUUCAUUUUAAUAUUGAUUAAAAUCAACAACAUCUGCAAGGUAGUUUCAUAGUUUCGACCCCUUGAAUAAAUAAAUGAGGAAAUUCAAUAAAACACCUUGUAUCUCUGUUAUAAAGGUCAUCCACUAAUGAUCCCUAGUUGGGUGAAUUAAUAAUUCAUUUACGGUUAGAACUUUUAAAUAUUUUAGAAGGCCAUUACAUAUCUAUGGUUGAUUAAAAUCUUUGGAAUAUAAUUGCUUUAAUUCAUUAAAAAUAUUUCUUUUAAAUAUAUGUUUAAUUAAUAUUUACUAUGAUAAGCAUUAAACUACUUUGCCCAUUAUACACUGCUCAACAAUCGAAGUGGAUAUUAUAAAAAUCUGCAAUUUUAGUUUGCCAAUGAUUUACAAUAAAACAAAAUUAAAUGUAAUAAAUAAAUCUCUAUUAAGUUCACUCACAAUAGCCCCAAAAUAAAUAAACAGAUAUCUCCUAAAAAAUUUAAAUUUUUAACACACAACAGGAAAAAUUAAAAUAAAAUUAUACCCUGUAAAGCAAGCCCCAAAGUCCUGUCAUGAAAAUUAAUACCUCGUAGGUCCACCCCUGGCUCGUCUUAGUGCUGUCACCCUAUUUGGCGUACUUCUUAUUAAGUUGUUAAUGUAGUGUUGAGGAAUGUUUUGCCAUAUUUCCGGUAAUUGAUUGGCUAGUUGUUCUAAGGUUAGAGGUGCCUGUUCGAGCUGGUUUAAUCUUCGAGACAUUUCGGUCCAUACAUGUUCAAUGCAAUUCAUGUCGGGUGAAUGUGGUGGCCAGUCCAUUCUGAUAAUGCCAUGAAAUUCAAUGCGAUCAUUGACAAUUCUCGCACGGUGCGGGCGCGCAUUAUCAUCGAUUAAAACGAAUUCUUCACCUAUUGCACCAAAAAAUGGUACAAUUAUGUUCUCUAUAAUAAUGUCUCUAUAUCGUUCUCUAUAGCGUUCAUUGUUUCAUUUCUUAACACCACUAAAUCGGUGCGGCCAUCGAAACAUAUGCCUCCCCAAACACAAACUGAACCGCCACCAAAAAGGGUGUAGUGGGCGCCAUCAAAUUUUCAUGGUAUCGCUGUCCCCCAAAAUUCGACCAUCACACACGUGUAGCCGAAAUCUGGACUCAUCCGUAAUCAUACAAGACCUCCAGUUUUGAAAAUUUCAAUUACUGUGUUCUAUUGCCCACCGAUUUCUGCAUGCACGAUGUUCCCCCGUCAACCGUGGAUGUGUGGCACGUCGUCUGGCUCUUAAAUUGGACGCAUGUAAUCUUCUUCUAACAGUCUGAUUAGAAAUUACCCUCCCAGUAGCAUGCCUUAAGUAGCUGUUAAUUCUCGAAGCCGUAAAUGUUCGGUUUCUUUUUGCGGUUACUGUUAUAUAGCGGUCUUGAGCAUGAGUUGUAGCACGUUCUCGGCCUCCACCAUGCCUGUAAGCUGCAGACCCAGUCUCUACAUAUCGAUUCCAUGCACGACUCACGACACUUUGGGACACAUUUAACCGGUUAGCAACUUCUUCUUGAGUUAGGCCCUCCUGUAGCCAACGUACUAAUUGCUCGAGUUGCACUGUUUCUAACCAUCGUAGAACCAUUAUUUUUAAGAAAGUAAAGAGAUUUAUUGCUAACAAUGAGAAUAAUAAAGUCUACAAGCACUUUUAUGUGACUAAAUUGUUAGGAUUUUGAAACCGAAUUCUUUAAAAGAGAUAAGAAUGAACGACAAAAAAUAUUUGCUAUCAACAGGAUUUACUAAUAGCAUAAAACGCAACUUGAUGAAUUUUAUUUUUUUAGGCGAAUUUCGGUAAUUUAUAAAAUAUCCAGUUCGAUUGUUGAGCAGUUUAUAUGAAGUAUUUAGCGUGGUCAGGCUGAAAAAUAAACUAAUUGGAUCCGAAAAUAGCGGGUCUUCAAUAAUAAUAAUCGCCACUAAAAAGUGAUAUUGUCAUAAAUACAUAAUGAGAAAUUAUGAGAGAAUAAUGAGAGAUAAAGUCAAUCUAAAGGUUGAUCAUUAAAAGUUAUACAUCACACCCUCAUUAAACAACAAAAUUCCUUACUCCUAUUCAAAAUGCUCAGCCGCUACAAACAAUUUAAAUUUAUCUAAUUGUUGUUUUCCAUUUUUGCAAAAAAGCAAAUAAUGUAAAAAUUCAAGAAAGUUCAUAGAAAAGCUUUAUAUAAAUCCUUUGCAACAUUGUUUUCACCAAUAAAUGUCAUUUCUGAUCUUAUUACGAGUGUUAUAAGUUAUUGAAGUGACUGGAUUUCAUCUUUAACAUCUUCAAUAAAUUAUGUUGUUUUAUAGCAAUACUAAUAAAAUCAUUAAAAUCAGAAUUUACAAGUUAUGUAUAUAAUUUCAAUUAAGAAUUUGAAUUCUUUUAGAAUUAUUACACUUUUAUAAAAAUCCUGAGGAAUAUUGCUUGAAUAGGGUUUUCUUUUACCAGCCAUUUAAAAACUGCAGAUCACACAUCACUUCUGCCUUAAAUAAACGGUUCCAAGCAUCCUAAUUAGUAAAAAAGUUUAAAAUAUUUGCCUUGAAACAAAGACCCUUAAAAACUCACUAGUAUUCUUUUGAAAUUCUGAUGUUAUCCGUUUGUACGUAAAAUAUUUCAUAAUUCUGGGCAAUUGCUAUAUAAGCUGAAUACCGAACCCUGCAGCAACUUAUACGAAUAAUUUAGAUUACAAACAAAAAUAUUUAAUAACUUUGCACUGCUAAAUUCAAAUUAAACAUCUGUUUAAUAAUGUUGUCCGAAUGUAUUCCACUUUUCAACCCCGGAAACCUAAUUGAAUAGAUUGAAACCUAAGGCCAAUAAACUUUGUUAUUGUUAAUUACGUUUCCCAGGGGCUUUUAUGUCUACAAUUAUAUCUAUACUGUACCUUUAUAUUAGAGUGUAAACAUUUUAGCUCAAUUGUGUAAAUUUACACUGAACACAUAAAAAAAUACUAGAGACAACAAUUACUGAUAAUAUAUUUUUUUUCGCUUUGCUUAUCAGCAAUAAUAUUUUUUGUGUUCAGUGUAAACUACGUUUAUUAUAAUUUCCUAUUUUAUAAAUAGAUUUUUUACUUGCCAAUCUGUUAGCACAAUUUAAUAGAAAUGUAUAUUUUUAUAAAAAGCAUGAUUGUUACUAUAGUUGUUAUUUGUAUGAAUCUAUUGUACGUUAUUUGUUAAAAUGUUUAAUGAUCUACAGUAUUCCCGGCUUUUCACAUUUUCCUUUUCAGACGUAUUUUCGAAUUAUUUGUGCGUUUGGUAGUAUUUGUCUUCCUAGCUCUUAUUGAUAGAAUCAUUCUGAAAUGUCAAUAAAAACAAAUUUAUAGAGCACUGUUUUUUCUACACCUUGAUAAUUGAAGACAUAAGAACUAGAAUAAGCAAAAAUUUUGUUUUUGUACAGGGUUGCCCAAAUUCGAAAACUGAAAUUAACCUACCCCAUAAGACAUACAAGAUCGGUUAAAUUUUGACAAUUGUAUUAAAUAAAUUAAUGUUUAUAAAUUACGUUUAAGUUUAAUAGAAAUUUUAGAUGUUUUUUUAGCGUAAGAUAAAAGGAAGGAAAUAAUAAUGUAUUAGUAGCGCUUUUUUAUUGAGAAAUGAUGUCUUAACUGAAAUUCCGGCGUUUUGUCUUGCAUAAAUCAUUUUCAACUUUUAUUUUACUUAUUCAUUAAAAGCAAAUUAAUCUAACCUAACACCUAACAUUUUUGACCACAAGCAGUAUAAAAGUUACAUUUUAAUUCACUAUUCAAGACUCUCAUAGGACAACCUAAACAACAACCAUAGGCAAAAGGAAAUAGCUCAAUGAAACUUAUUUCACACUGCUAUUUAAAUGUCUCAAAAACGGAUUUCUACCUACAAAGCAGUCUAGCUGAACUGAGUAAUGGUUAGCUAGUUUGCUACCUCUAGUGACAAAAGAACUGCAUUCAUAAUUUGUCUUUUCAGAGAGUACGUGAAAAGAAGCUGCGUGUCUGAUCAAUCUACCAGGUAAAUGAAUUAUUGGAGUGGAGAAUGUCAUAGACGGUCACAAAUCAUGAUGUUAUCGACGAGUCUGAAAUCUAGGAAGAGUAGGUAAAGGAAUACUAUUCUUAAAAGCAGUAUACGUCAAACACUUCUGCUAGACUUGUUCAAAGAUUUGUGUGAGGUUGUUAUAAUGUGGUGGCCAUACACAGGACCUAUAUUCAAGAAACUGGGACACAGCUGACAUAACAUGAGACCAAAAAUUGAUCUGGGAGUCUACUGUAAUACCUAGAUCCUUCACACUAGAGACAACUUCCAAAGGGAUUCUUUCAAUGGAAUAAAUAUAACCUAGAGGGUUAACACUUUGACUAUAAAUCAUACAAUGACAUUUCCCAAUAUUUAGGUUCACAUAGUUGAUUUUACAAUAUGCAAGAAGCUGUUGGAGAUCAUGAUGCACUUUAAGGCAGUCACUAGGAUUUAAAGCUUUGCAAUAGAACUUGCGAUCAUCAGCAAACAAUAGGAACAUGCCGUAUUUAAAACAACUAGCACUGUCAUUAAUGUAGAGAGUAAAAAGGAGGGGUCCCAAGCGUCAAUCAUCUCCUUAGACUUGUAAUUACACACCAUCACAAGCUGCUACCGAUUAGUUAAGUAAUAUAAGUAGUAGCCAAUUGUAUAAGGAUUGGCUAAAGCUGAACUGAGAUAAUUUAUUCAACAAAAGAGCAAGAUUUACACGAUCGAAAGUUUUUGAGAAAUCAGUAUACACUGCGUAUAUCUGACCUUAAAAAACCUGUGUAACAAAAUAAUGUACAAGUUUUUCGAAUAACUUUGGAACAACACUGAGGAUGCUUAUUGGUCUAUAAUUAUUAACCUGAGCGUGAUAGUCAGAUUUUGGAAUCGGUGUGAUAAACUUGUAUUUCCAAAAUUCAGGACAAAUCCCAGCUUUCAAGGAUAAAUUGAGGUAUUAUGAAGCUACAUUUUUUCAAAAAAAUAGUAGGCAAGACAUUAGACCUUUAGAAGCAUCUAAAUCACUCAACCCAGCAUAGACAUCUGAAACGGAUAAGUUUAAAUUGGGAAUAUAUAGAUUAUUCAUUGUUGAAGUAAAAUUUUUAUAUUAUUAUUGCGAGUUAUGCUCAGUGAAAAGAACAUAUCGGUUAUAAGACUCUUUUUUUUAUAAUUUCACAAUUUGAUCCUGUUUCAGAAAGAAUGUUAUAGUCUGCUAACAAUUUGGAAACCAUAUAUUUCUUAUGAGCUAUCUUUUUUGAGAGUAUUAAUUAUUUCAAGCGAAAACGAAUACGGAAAUUUUUUUGUAUAACAGUAAAAGCACAAGGCAGUCUAUACAUACAUAAACAAUUUUAUAAAAUAUAUUUAACGUAUCGUUCAAGGAUUUAUCUAACAAUAAUUUAUUCAAACUGUGACAUAAAAUCUAAAAUUGCUUUCCAGUCAGGAGAGUUAAAAUCCCUGUAAUAACAACUGCCUGAGAAUUGAAGAGAUUUGUCAGUUAAGGCACAUUCUAUGGAAAAAAACCAUCAAGUUCCAGCAACCUAACUUCCUGAGUAAGGACAUCAUUGGAGGGUACAAACACAAAAUUCAAAAUUGAGCCAGUUGCAUUAGAUUAUUAUACAUUUUCAUCCUGGAUUUUUUAUGUUUUGUGGUUUAUUCAUUCUCAUCAUUAAGUAUUGUAACAUAUAAUACUUUAAUCACAAAAUCUAUGGAGAAAAGCACAAUUAAAACCUAUCUCCGACUGGCACGUCAUUUUUGCAUUAAAUUGACUUCUGUCAAAAUCAUAAUAGAACAGUAGUUCUGGUGGUAGAAUCGCAUGAAAAAUUGACUUUUCCCUAUUCACAUUUUGGAAGUAGAGUUCUGUCAAAAUAAUGUAAUGUUGAGUAAUCGUUUUUUUAUUAAAAAGAAAAUGUAUAUUGCAUCUUGUCGUUGAGCAGGGAAACCCCCGGAUUUUAAUUAACACACUAACGACACAAAAAAUUUCAAUCCUAAAUAUAUUGGGCAUGAGCUCUAUGUCAGAGCUGUAUUUGAAAAAAUAAUAUUAAAAAAAGGUAGAUGAUGGGCGCCAAGAGACGAAACGUCGUAACACAAAUUUUAAAUUGCUAUCAUAGUAGGGCGUAGUAUCAAUAAGAAAGUGUAAGGUAUUUUGCUCUAUGGCUUUGGGAAAAGAAUUAAAAAAAAAUCAAAAUCUACAGCAUUAAACUCUAAUUUUCUAAUGACAUGUUAUAUACAAGGAGAAUAAGAUGCUGAUCCUUAAGGGUGUUAGUCCUUAGUGUUUUUAAGAAGAAAAGUUCAAAUAAAGCUUGUCUUAAACACCUUAAUAUGUGAGCUACAGGGUAAUAAAAUCUUAAGGAAAAAAUCGUUUCUUCACUUCACUACUAACUUCCUAGAUAUAUUUAUGAAAUUUAGCACACACCCUCUGAGUAUCAACAGCUAUUUUUUGAUGUAGAAGUUUUUUAAAGUUUAACCAGUGGCGUCCGUACAGGAACAAAGACUACAUAUUAAAAAAACAUAUUGCCAUUGCUUUUGCUUAAAAUAAAAUCUUUUUUUAUAUUCCCCACUCAUGUUAGGGCAAAUUCAUUUAAAAAAAUAUAAACAUACGCACAGGGUGGCCAUUUUAUUAGAGGCUGGCUUUUUAAAAUCUAGAGUUUCGGAAAUAAACUCCUGGACAAAAUUAUCGCACCACUAAUUAUGUUGUCAAGAAAAUUUAAAUAAAAAUAAAUAUCAGUUAAAACAGUUAUAUCUUUUCUCGUAUAAAAAGCAGAACUGGACAAAAACUAUGUUUAUGCUUUAUCAUGGAACAUGCUGCUCGUGAGGAGUGAGAAUACAUCCGCAGGAAAGUUUUCAUAAUUUGAUACGAGGAUUUCAUUAUGGGUCUAUUGUUUUAUUUUUGUAUCAAAAUUGAAGUUAGUGAAAAUCGAUGCUUUUCCUUGUAUUGAAUUAAGUUACUUAAAUCUCGUUUUGUUAAAUAGAAUAUAAUUGUUUUUGUUAAUUAAUAAUGCAUAGUUAACAAUGCUUAUAAGUUUGCUUAUUUUUUUAUCUUUAUUAAAAAAAAAUCUCUAAAAAUCAAGUGGUGCGAUAAUUUUGUCCAGGAGUUUAUUUAUAAUUUCAUUAAAGUGAUGUAAUUUUAAUAACUGUUAUAACUUUCAACAAUAAUAACGCUCUUUGACCAAUUUCGUUAAUUUAGUAUUUCACCUUAGUAGACUGUGACAUACGAAGGUUGCCUUUAUUUCUCCCAAGGAACCUAAAAAUAUACGCAAUGUCCCAUUUAAAAUUCUGGUGUUAAAGUCGGUGCAGCACUUUAUGAACACCCUGUAUUGAUGAAACUCAAAUAAUUUAAAAAUUCACUUAAAACAAAAACAAUUCUGUAAGAACAUUUUUUAGACACCCUGUAGAUUCUGAGAAAAAUGAUGGGCCUCUAAAAAUGGCCACCCUCUACAUUAUUUUACCACAACUAGAUUAGCGGUACUUUAAUAUUAAAUAGUUUUUAAAAAUUUCAUAGAAGUCUCAUAAAUUUUGUUCUAAGGGUGACGACUUCAACAUCGUAGCUCUCAGGUUAAGGAGUUAAGCUCUAUUUGAACAUUUCUUCUUAAAAUUACCUAAAGAUAACACCCUUAAGGAUCAGCAUCUUAUUUUGUAAUACUCUGUGUAACAUUGGAUCAUGUUUGUGUUAAUUUAAUAAGUCUUAUACCAGCAUCUUGGAGACAGAAUGGCUGAUCUAUUAAUCUAUUAAUUACAUUUAAAUUUUUGGAUUUUUCCGGGAAUAUUAGGAAAAUCAUUUUAAUGACUACGAAAUUACGCAGCUUAGCGAUAAUUUACCGACCUUGUAUCUCUUACCACCUCGAAUUUGAGAUACCCUGUACCCAUUAUAACCGUCGAAAGAAAACAAGCUUUUUUUUUUUCAAUAUUUUUUAUUUCUUUUUAUAUAAUACUUAACACUAAUUUACUCUAAUUUAUAUGUUCAAGUAAUAAAUUAGGAGGGAGUGUUGAAUAAGUU